UGUUUCACUGUUCUCGCCGCACUUCAAACUUCCUCCCAUCUUCCUCCGCUUUUCAAUAACCCACAAAGAACCCCAACUCCAUGGAAUUCAUCCGCCGGGCGGCCGGGGGAAGAGAGUAAGGGAGAGAUGACAUCGCGGCCCCGCGGCGUUGGAGAGGCGAUGAUGUUGGGGCAAAUGGCGCUUCGCUCGGAGAUCUACGGCGCCGCCGCUUCCCCUCCGACGCUCUCAUGGCGGAUCCAGAGGAGUCUUUCAAGGAGAGAAAUUGGGAUUUUUUUCCUGUUCUUCGUCUCGGCCGCUGCCUUCUUCGCGCCUUGUUUGCACCAAAGAAAAGCUUGUCCUCAUUGCUAUGCCCCUGUGGAGCUGAUGAUGGAAUUUAGGCCAACUUCACCAUACAUAUUGCCUGUCAUUAAGGAUCUAAAUUACAUCAUUGGAGAAAACUCCAUCAAAACUGAAUCAGAAAGAGACUGAUUUUGGUGGACAUCUAUCUCUGCAGCAGAGAAAUGAGUCCUUUGAUAUAAACGAGUCAAUGACCGUGCAUGAUUUGUCAAGGGAAAGAAACCUGGAUGCAGUACUCUGUUUGACAUUAAUCAUGCCGGUCUUCUUGAGAUGGUGGAAUGUCAUGGAAUGGUUGUUGCCUCAGCUACAUUAAGUACAAGUUAUUCUGCAUUUAUUCUUCUUCCAGACCCUGCUCACCUUCCUUCUUAAUGCUAAAUGAAAGUUUGCCCUCA